rnacentral:lncRNA from 1 species
GCCGUGUCUGCCACUUCGUGUCGCAGCCUCGUGUGCUUUCCACGGCUGGUCGUUGAUAUUCGUAUAUCGGUUUAAUCAUCGUAUUUACUGUCUAUUUUACAUGCUGUGUAUUUGGAAACCAACUUUUUCAGUAUCACACACACACAUACAAGCGGGUGUUACGACAUAUAAAUUUCGGAAAUUUCCGAUUUGGUCAUAAAUUCGUAUACGGCAGCAUUGAUUAACUUGAUAUGUGAUAUUUUUGGGCUUUCGUCCUUAAAAUCAUAUGCAGACAUAAAUCCUUACAUAAAUACAUACUCUGUAUAACCCUACAAACACCCAGACAACUCUCGACAAGCGGGUGGCUACCUAAACAAGCCUGCAUUCACAGCUUUACUCCGUUAUGUUUGCGCAUAAUAAAUGACUUUCAACGCCAGGAAAGGUUUCAUAAAAUGUGUAUGGAUUUGUGGGUUCACGAACUAAACCGAACCCGAAAAACAACAUCAAAAACAAAUGCUUUAUUGUAGGCGAUGCACAAAUAUUAAGAAAUAUUACUAAAAACCGAUGAAAAAUAUUAGAAGCGCCCAUAAUGGCGUUUUCGUUUCACGCAUUGCCCAAGCAGUCUAAAAAAACCUGUAACAUAUAUUACAUCCCGAAAAAGGUAUUUUAAGUUUCCUGCGAGUUUUAUAGCAUCAGCAGGAAUUGUUAAAGACACCGUACGGAUAUAUAGAAGGUCAAUUAAAAAGUCUCCAACCUGACACAUAGAUGACGCUACUCGAAUUAAAUUCAUAAGAUUUGUAGUUAGCCCUAACUUUCAAAAGACGUGUGUAUAAAUUGGCAGCUGUCGCAUUAUUAGUUUGGUCAUGUUAUUUUUCUUCAGUAUUGUUUGACUGCCUGAACAACG